rnacentral:rRNA from 1 species
CUUAGAACCCGGGAUUCCCGAAUGGGCAAUCCUGCCCCUUCGGGGGCGCUCCGUAAGGAGCGGGAACGCGGGGAAAGGAAGCAUCUGAGUACCCGCAGGAAAAGAAAUCAAACGAGAUGCCGUCAGUAGGGGCGACCGAACGCGGCAGAGCCCAAACCGAACACCCUGCCGCAAGGUGGGGUGGAUGUGGGGUUGCAGGACCUCGCCCAACGUCGUGGAGUGAAGCCGAAGUCCGCUGGAACGCGGUGCCGUAGAGGGUGAAAGCCCCGUAGGCGUAAGCUCCGCGGCUACGAGGUGAGGUAUCCUGAGUACCGCGGGUUGGAAUUCUCGCGGGAAGCUGGGGGUCAUCAACCUCCAAGGCUAAAUACGUCCCGAGUCCGAUAGCGCAAUAGUAGGGUGACCGAAAGCUGAAAAGAACCCCGAGAAGGGGGGUGAAAAGAGCCUGAAAUCGGCCGGGGAUAGUGCGCAGUAGCCCCAAAGGUAACUCCGGCGAAGGAAAGUGUCGCGAGGCACGAGUACGAGCCGGAGCAUGCCAGGGUUACUGCAUACGUUUUGAAAAACGGGCCAGGGAGUGUAUGUCAGUGGCGAGGCUAAGGGUUGAAAGCCCGUAGCCGAAGGGAAACCGAAGGUCCGCAGGAAACGAGGGACCGGGUGUGCUCGCCUGAGUCACUGGCAUACGACCCGAAGCCGGACGAUCUAGACGGGGGUAGGGUGAAGCGGGUCGAAAGGCUCGUGGAGGCCCGCAGGGGUGUUGAUGUGCAAAUCGCUCCCAUGACCUCCGUCUAGGGGUGAAAGUCCAAUCGAGUCCGGGGAUAGCUGGUUCCCUCCGAGACAUACCGCAGUAUGCCCCGCCCGGAGGCUGGUAGCGGGGUAGAGUUACUGAUUGGGGGAGUCGGGGGGUGACACCCUCGCCCUCCUGUCAAACUCCGAAUCCGCUACCGCCGUAGAAGGGCGGAGUCAGGGGCAGGGGUUAAGCUCCUGUUCCGAGAGGGAGACAACCCAGACCGAGGUUAAGGCCCCUAAGUGUCGGCUAAGUGUGAACGAUAAAGGAGGUCCCGGGUCGAAGACAGCGGGGAGGUAGGCUUAGAAGCAGCCAUCCUUUAAAGAGUGCGUAAAAGCUCACCCGCCGAGACUCGGGGCGCCGAAAAUGGACGGGGCUCAAGCCGACCGCCGAUACCUCGGGGCACCGAAAGGUGAUCCGGUAGGAGGGCGCACCGGUGGCGCAGAAGCUCGGGCCUGAGCUCGGGUGGAGCCGUCGGUGACGAGAAUCCUGGCGGUAGUAGCAGCAUAGUCGGGUGAAAAUCCCGACCGCCGGAAGAGCAAGGGUUCCACGGCAAUGUUCGUCAGCCGUGGGUUAGUCGGUCCUAAGGUGGCUCGUAAUUCGACGCCACCGAAAGGGGAGCGGGUUAAUAUUCCCGCACCACCGCCCUAUGCCUUUAAGGCACCCGACGCCUCGGGAUAGGCGGAGCGCUUCUGCCAUGGGGCGUCCAAGCGUCGAAGCCCCCGGAGAUCCGUAAUGGAGAGAAGGGGGUGAAGGCGUGAUGGCGUAAGUCCGCCGACUCCUGGGGACCGUGAAAAGGGGGGCGGGGACCGUACCGAGAACCGACACAGGUGCUCUGGGUUAGAAGCCUAAGGCGUGACGGAACAAUCCAGCAGAGGGAAAUCGGCAAAUUGGCCCCGUAUGUUCGCUAGAAGGGGUGCCUGCUCUCUCGUGGGAGCAGGUCGCAGUGACUAGGGGGGAGCGACUGUUUACUAAAAACACAGGGGGCUGCAACCCGGCAACGGUUAGUACAGCCCCUGAGUCCUGCCCAGUGCGGGUACCUGAAAGCCCGGUACAACGGGUCGAAGGGCCCGUAAACGGCGGGGGUAACUCUGACCCUCUUAAGGUAGCGUAAUACCUUGCCGCUUAAUUGGCGGCUUGCAUGAACGGAUUAACGACUCCCCCACUGUCCCCUGCUGGAAGCCGGCGAACCCGACAUCCCAGCCGAAUAGUCUGGGGACCCCCGUUGGGAAGCGAAGACCCUGUGGAGCUUUACUGCAGCCUGCCGUUGCCUUACAGCUGAGGGUGCGCAGGGUAGGCGGGAGGCUUCGAAGUGCCCUCUUUGGGGGGCAUGGAGCCGUCGAUGAGACACCGCCCAUCCUUAGCUGUAGGGCUAACCGCUUCGGCGGGACAGCGGUUGGUGGGCAGUUUGGGUGGGGCGCCACGCUCCCGAAAAGGUAUCGGGAGCGCCCAAAGGUCGGCUCAGGCGGGUCAGAACUCCGCCGUAGAGUGCAAGGGCAAAAGCCGGCCUGACGUGAACCCCCACAAUAAAGGUUCACGAGCCGAAAGGCGGGCCUAGCGAACCAUCCUGGCCUUUUGGUGAGGCCGGAUGACGUCAGAAAAGCUACCCCAGGGAUAACAGAGUCGUCCCCGGCGAGAGUACAUAUCGACCCGGGGGCUUGCUACCUCGAUGUCGGCUCUCCCCAUCCUGGCCGUGCAGCAGCGGCCAAGGGUGAGGUUGUUCGCCUAUUAAAGGGGAUCGUGAGCUGGGUUUAGACCGUCGUGAGACAGGUCGGUUGCUAUCUGACGGGGGUGUCCGGACGGCUGAGGGGAGGGAGGCUCUAGUACGAGAGGAACGAGCCUCCGGCGCCACUGGUUUACCGGUUGUCUGGCAGGGCAUUGCCGGGCAGCUACGUGCCAGUGGCUAAAGGCUGAAAGCAUCUAAGCCUGAAGCCACCCCCGAAAAGAGCCGUCCUUAAGGGCUCCGGUAAAAGACCGGGUUGAUAGGACCGGGGUGUAAGCGGCAAGCUUCGGCGAGCCGUUCAGCCCGCGGUCACUAAUCGCCCGCGC